CCUGCGUCCAGGGCAACAACAAAUAAGCAAAUGUUUAGAGCUUGUCGGCAAAACGGUGUAUCCUCUUACCGCCUGGACGCCCCUCCCACCACCCCAGCAUCAUCCGCCUCUGAGUGGGGCAUGCACAGGAUGCUGGUGAUAAACAUUGACUCCCAGGAGGAACAUGGGUCCAGCAGCAGGAAGGAGACCUGGGUAUUUCAUUGCAACCGAGUUAGUAUGAGUAUAUCAAAACAACCUUAUGGGGAAAGUGCUAUCAUUGACUCCUUUCUACAGACAAGGAAAUUGAGACGCAAAUAA
rnacentral:lncRNA from 1 species